UACGUAGGGGGCAAGCGUUGUCCGGAUUUAUUGGGCGUAAAGAGCUUGUAGGCGGUUCCGUAAGUCGGGUGUGAAAAAUCUGGGCUCAACCCAGUGGAGCACCCGAUACUGCGGUGACUCGAGUCCGGUAGGGGAGUGUGGAAUUCCUGGUGUAGCGGUGAAAUGCGCAGAUAUCAGGAGGAACACCGACGGCGAAGGCAGCACUCUGGGCCGGUACUGACGCUGAGGAGCGAAAGCAUGGGGAGCGAACAGG
rnacentral:rRNA from 1 species